UACGUAGGGACCAAGCGUUGUUCGGAUUUACUGGGCGUAAAGGGUGUGCAGGCGGGGCUGUAAGUGGGGUGUGAAAUCUCCAGGCUUAACCUGGAGGGGUUAUGCCAGACUGCAGUUCUAGAGGGCGAGAGAGGGGGGUGGAAUUCCGGGUGUAGUGGUGAAAUGCGUAGAGAUCCGGAGGAACCCCAGAGGCGAAGGCGGCCCCCUGGCUCGUACCUGACGCUCAGCCACGAAAGCAUGGGGAGCGAACGGG
rnacentral:rRNA from 1 species